rnacentral:lncRNA from 1 species
UUGAGUCUUGUAUCAAAAAAUCUAUCAAUAAACUUGUCAGUGUGUUUCUCAAAUGACUGGCUAAAACCUUUUAAUUUUCUUCCCUGGGAAGGCCGAGAUCCUCAUAGCUGCGUGUUGCUUAGAAUAUCAUAGCUUUGUUAUAAACUGCUCUUGUGAUAACAGUCUCUUGAACUCUUGAAGGCCCAGAGAGAAGGGAGGCCGUUGUUAUGUUCGGGAAUACUUUCAAGGAGCGAGUUAUUACAU